rnacentral:rRNA from 1 species
AUACGUAGGGGGCGAGCGUUGUCCGGAAUGAUUGGGCGCAAAGGGCGCGUAGGCGGCGCGGUACGUCUGGAGUGAAAGUCCUGCUUUCACGGUGGGAGCUGCUUUGGCUACUGCUGCGCUUGAGUGCCGGAGAGGCUAUCGGAAUUUCCGGUGUAGCGGUGAAAUGCGUAGAGAUCGGGAGGAACACCAGUGGCGAAGGCGGGUAACUGGACUGCAACUGACGCUGAGGCGCGAAAGUGUGGGGAGCAAACAGGAUUAGAUACCCUGGUAGUCCACACUGUAAACGAUGAAUGCUAGGUGUAAGAGGUAUCGACCCCUUUUGUGCCGGAGUCAACACAAUAAGCAUUCCGCCUGGGGAGUACGGCCGCAAGGUUGAAACUCAAAUGAAUUGACGGGG